UACAGAGGUCUCAAGCGUUGUUCGGAUUCAUUGGGCGUAAAGGGUGCGUAGGUGGCGCUGUAAGUCGGGUGUGAAAUCCUGAGGCUUAACCUCGGAACUGCAUUCGAUACUGCCGUGCUUGAGGACUGGAGAGGAGACUGGAAUUUACGGUGUAGCGGUGAAAUGCGCAGAUAUCGGGAAGAACACCCGUGGCGAAGGCGGCUCUCUGGGACGGUACUGACGCUGAGACGCGAAAGCGUGGGGAGCGAACAGG
rnacentral:rRNA from 1 species